UCAUCUUCGAUAAGUAGAUGUUUUGUUGGUAAUGCAAAUAUGGGAUUGAAGUCGACAUUUUUAUUGGUAUGUAAACACUAAACCCUUUGCAGAAACCCAGUUUCAGCAAUCCGUCUCAGUGGGUAGGCGUUUACAUUAAGCCAUUUCUCUGUAACCCAACUUUAUCUUCUUUCCUUCCAUAGAAAUAUAAUUGGAAUCGAGUAAUAGAAGGCAAAAAAUGGGGAAGAGCUUCACUCUGAUUCAGACAGUCACCACAGCCGGAGCCUUCUCUGCCGUUUCCUUCUGGUACGGGUUCAUGUUUGGCCGAGAGUCUGCCCGCAAGGAGCUCGACGAAUUGAUUGAGAAUCUCCGCCGCGGAAACACUGAUUCUGCUGCUUCUUCGCCUCCCCAUUCCUAAAUGAAGCUUGGUCAAGGUCCACAGCAUCAAGAAGGCAGAGAAGAGUAAUUUCAUCCCUAAAGCUUGAGCCUUGUGCUGAUCCACAAAUCCCUAAGCAGCAUUGCAUCGGCCACAUCAGAUACAAAUACGACACAUGGAUCGCACGAGCUCAAUGAAGCCGAGAUCUUUUGGACCUCUGAUUUCACGGAACCGAUUCACUCCAGUAGCAACCACAAUCACCAUUGACGGUUGAAUUUUCAUCAACAGACUGGAUCCGGAAUCUACUAGCCGUAGGAACCAUUCUGAAUUAGAAGAUAACAUUUUUGUUUACCUGACUAGCAACCUGAGUUUGCAUGGAGCAGCUUGAUUGUAUGGUUGAUCAUAAAGACCUUUUGAUAUGGAGUAGCUUGAUUGUACGACCAGUGCUUCUAGAGAUAAC